UUAAGCUAAUAAGAGCGCACGGAGGAUGCCUAGGCGCUAGGAGCCGAAGAAGGACGUGGCGAACGACGAAAUGCCUCGGGGAGCCGUAAGCAGGCUUUGAUCCGGGGAUGUCCGAAUGGGGGAACCCGCGUAUCGUAAUCGAUACGUACCAUGCAGUGAAUUCAUAGCUGCAUCGGAGGCAUACGAGGGGAACUGAAACAUCUAAGUACCUCAGGAGAAGAAAACAAGAGUGAUUCCGUCAGUAGCGGCGAGCGAAAUCGGAACAGCCCAAACCAGAGGGCAUGCUCUCUGGGGUUGUAGGACGUCUUACACGGAGUGAUAAAAGAGCAGCGUAGGCGAAGCGGCCUGGAAAGCCGGCCAAAGAAGGUAACAGCCCUGUAGCUGAAAUGCCGCUCUCUCUUUAGACGCAUCCUGAGUACCGCGGGACACGUGAAACCCCGCGGGAAUCCGGCAGGACCAUCUGCCAAGGCUAAAUACUCCCUAGCGACCGAUAGUGAAGCAGUACCGUGAGGGAAAGGUGAAAAGCACCCCGGGAGGGGAGUGAAAGAGAACCUGAAACCGUGCGCUUACAAGAAGUCAGAGCCGAUCUAGGGGUGAUGGCGUGCCUUUUGUAGAAUGAACCGGCGAGUUACGUUCCCGUGCGAGGUUAAGGUGAAGAGCCGGAGCCGCAGCGAAAGCGAGUCUGAACAGGGCGAAUGAGUACGUGGACGUAGACCCGAAACCGUGUGAUCUACCCCUGUCCAGGGUGAAGGUGAGGUAACACUCACUGGAGGCCCGAACCCACGAAUGUUGAAAAAAUUCGGGGAUGAGGUGGGGGUAGCGGAGAAAUUCCAAUCGAACUCGGAGAUAGCUGGUUCUCCCCGAAAUAGCUUUAGGGCUAGCCUCAGGAAGAAAGAGUAGUGGAGGUAAAGCACUGAUUGGGUGCGGGGCCCGCCAAGGGUUACCAAGUCCAGUCAAACUCUGAAUGCCACAUACUUGUACCUGGGAGUCAGACAGUGAGUGCUAAGAUCCAUUGUCAAGAGGGAAACAGCCCAGACCAUCAGCUAAGGUCCCUAAGUAGGUGUUAAGUGGGAAAGGAUGUGGAGUUGCACAGACAACCAGGAUGUUGGCUUAGAAGCAGCCACCAUUGAAAGAGUGCGUAAUAGCUCACUGGUCGAGUGACUCUGCGCCGAAAAUGUAACGGGGCUAAACACACCACCGAAGCUAUGGAUUGACGAAAGUCAGUGGUAGGGGAGCGUUGUGUACCGGAGCGAAGGUAGACCGGAAGGACUGCUGGACUGUACACAAGUGAGAAUGCCGGUAUGAGUAACGAAAAGACAAGUGAGAAUCUUGUCCGCCGAAAGCCUAAGGGUUCCUGAGGAAGGUUCGUCCGCUCAGGGUUAGUCGGGACCUAAGGCGAGGCCGAAAGGCGUAGUCGAAGGACAACAGGUGGAAAUUCCUGUACCACCGUAAGCCGUUAUGAGUAAUGGGGUGACGCAGAAGGGUAGUCGUGCGAGCGGAUGGAUGCUCGUCCAAGCAGUGAGGCUGAUGUGCAGGCAAAUCCGCGCAUCGUAAGGCUGGGCUGUGAUGGGGAGGGAAAUGUAAGUACCGAAGGCGAUGAUCUCAUGCUGCCAAGAAAAGCCUCUAGCCAGGCGAAGGUGCCCGUACCGCAAACCGACACAGGUAGGCGAGAAGAGAAUUCUAAGGCGCGCGGAAGAACUCUCGUUAAGGAACUCGGCAAAAUGACCCCGUAACUUCGGGAGAAGGGGUGCCCCGGUAAGGUGAAUAGCCUGAGGGGCCGCAGUGAAAAGGCCCAAGCGACUGUUUAGCAAAAAACACAGGUCUGUGCGAAGCCGCAAGGCGAAGUAUACGGGCUGACGCCUGCCCGGUGCUGGAAGGUUAAGGGGAGUGGUUAGGUGCAAACCGAAGCUGUGAACCGAAGCCCCAGUAAACGGCGGCCGUAACUAUAACGGUCCUAAGGUAGCGAAAUUCCUUGUCAGGUAAAUUCUGACCCGCACGAAUGGCGUAACGACUUGGGCGCUGUCUCAACGAGAGAUCCGGUGAAAUUUUAAUACCUGUGAAGAUGCAGGUUACCCGCGACAAGACGGAAAGACCCCAUGGAGCUUUACUGCAGCUUGAUAUUGAAUUUGGGUACGAUCUGUACAGGAUAGGUGGGAGCCUAAGAAGCAUGAGCGCCAGCUUGUGCGGAGGCGACGUUGGGAUACCACCCUGAUCGUAUCUAGGUUCUAACCUGGGUCCGUGAUCCGGAUCGGGAACAGUGUCAGGCGGGCAGUUUGACUGGGGCGGUCGCCUCCUAAAGAGUAACGGAGGCGCCCAAAGGUUCCCUCAGAAUGGUUGGAAAUCAUUCGAAGAGUGCAAAGGCAGAAGGGAGCUUGACUGCGAGACAAACAGGUCGAGCAGGGACGAAAGUCGGGCUUAGUGAUCCGGUGGUACCGAAUGGAAGGGCCAUCGCUCAACGGAUAAAAGCUACCCUGGGGAUAACAGGCUUAUCUCCCCCAAGAGUCCACAUCGACGGGAGGUUUGGCACCUCGAUGUCGGCUCAUCGCAUCCUGGGGCUGAAGUAGGUCCCAAGGGUUGGGCUGUUCGCCCAUUAAAGCGGUACGCGAGCUGGGUUCAGAACGUCGUGAGACAGUUCGGUCCCUAUCUGUCGCGGGCGCAGGAAAUUUGAGAGGAGCUGUCCUUAGUACGAGAGGACCGGGAUGGACGUACCGCUGGUGUACCAGUUGUUCCGCCAGGAGCACCGCUGGGUAGCCAAGUACGGAAGGGAUAAGCGCUGAAAGCAUCUAAGCGUGAAGCCCCCCUCAAGAUGAGAUUUCCCAAUUCAGUAAGACCCUUGUAGACGACGAGGUAGAUAGGUUCGGGGUGGAAGUGCAGCAAUGCAUGCAGCUGACGAAUACUAAUCGGUCGAGGGCUUAACCAU
rnacentral:rRNA from 1 species